UACGUAGGUGGCGAGCGUUGUCCGGAUUUACUGGGCGUAAAGCGCGCGCAGGCGGCAGUCUAAGUCCUCUGUGAAAUCACCCGGCUCAACUGGGUGGCUGCGGAGGAGACUGGGCAGCUUGAGGGGCCUAGAGGCCGGUGGAACUCCCGGUGUAGUGGUGAAAUUCGUAGAUAUUCGCAAGAACACCAGUGGCGAAGGCGGCUCACUGGCCCGGUACUGACGCUGAGGUGCGAAAGCGUGGGGAGCAAACAGG
rnacentral:rRNA from 1 species